UCCCCUCCCCGCGCCGCCCCAACCCCCACAUCGCAUCACACUCCACACGUGAAAGCGCGAGACAGGAGAGCAAGCUGUGCCGUCACCGUGACCGUGGCUGUCGGAGAGAUGCCAGCCAAAUCUUCUGUUAUACAAUUUGGCUACCUAAACCACAAAGAGUUCAUCUGUAAAAAUGCAUCCAAAAGAAAACAUACAGCAGUGUGUAAGUUCUGCAACGCAACGCAGACGGCUGGGACCACGUCAAACUUCUAUCGACAUUUGGAAAGGAAGCAUAAAGAAAGGUUCUGGGAGUACAAGGCAGGGCAACAGACAGAUGUCACACAGCCAACUAUAGCGUCCUCGUUUACUCAGAAAGUGCAGGUGUACAGCCUACAUUCACCAAGACAACAAGCCAUCAGUAAAGCCAUUGUCCAAGAUUUGAUAAUUGGGUGUUGUCUGCCUCUGUCACUUGUGGAAAAUGGACAUUUUAAACACUUUCUUGAGAUUAUGGACAAUAAGUACACACCAAUCUCUAGAAGAACAAUUUCUGAGAAACAGAUACCAGUGUUGGUAAAGACUGUCAAGGAAACUGUUUUAAAGAAGCUGGAGACCCAUCAUGAGUUUCUUUAACAACUGAUCUCUGGUCUGAUCGCAGGCUGCCCGUCUUCCUUGGAGUGUCUGCCCAUGUGUGCAACAAAUCGAAGGAUUCAGAUUCCUAUGCACUCGAAUCGUACUUGCUGGACUGUAGGCAUUUUACAGGCAGACACAGUGGGGAGCGAAUUGCUUCUGCCUUUGAGGAGGUCACAGAGGAAUAUGGUAUACGUCAGCAGAUCAAACAUCACAAACAAUGCUGCUAAUAUGAAAUGCGCGUUCAAAGUUCACAACAGUCUGAUGACAGUGAGAGUGAGGAGGAGAAUCUAGAUGAUGAACACUUGUGGGAGGACAUGAAUUUAGUGGAAGACACAGAAUUACCAUGGUCAUCAGGUGAACGUCUUUCUUGUUUUGCCCACUCUCUGUAGUUAGUUGUGAAUGACGGCAUGAAGGAGGUAAGGUCUAUUUCCAUAGCCAGAACAUCACGGUUCACAACGCUGUUACAUAGCAGCUCACAAUUUAAAGAAAAGUUUGAGGCUAUGAUUGACUCUAAUAAGACCAUUCCAGCAACAAACACCACUCGUUGGAACAGCACGUUCAAACAAGUACAGGCCCUCACAGCUCUAGACCACAAAUCUCUAAAUGAAAUGUGCAGUAAGGACUAUGAGAAUGUGAUGUUUAGUGCUCGUGAGUGGAACCAGCUGAAGGAACUGAGUGCAGUUCUUGCUCCAUUCUCUGAGGCAACACACCAGACAGAAGGGGAUAAAUCAGUUACCAUCAGCAUGGUGGUUCCAACUGUCCUGGACUUGAAUACACACCUCCUCAAAAUGGAGGAUACCAGAAUGCAGUGCCGGCCAAUAGUCAGUCGCUGGUGAAAAGAUUCUCUUCGAAUCUUUACCAAAACAAACAUGGCCAAAGAGAGUGGAAGAGAGGGACCUUUUAGCCACAAUGUGUACUUCUUAGCUACCAUGCUGGAUCCACAGUUUGGCUUAAGUUGGGUGGAUCUGGAUGUUAACAAUGGGGGAAAUGCAACAUCAGUGAAGAAACUCUGAGAUGAACUGAAGAAGACACUAACAACACUUUGAUCUCAGAGGUGGAGAAAAUAAGCAGUGAAGGAGAAGCAACUGAUUCAGAGGCCAUGAAUGUGGAUCCACCCUGGGAUUCGCCACCAGUCAAAUUCCCGCGCCUUCUGUCCCGCUACAAGGCUCACAAAAAGCGCAGCUCAACAACCCAGGAUUCAAGUAUUGAAACACAGAUAAGCAAAUACUUUGAUGCGAUCCAUGAUACAGAUACUGACACUGACAAUGCACUCUCCUUCUCGGCCAAAAACCAUGACAGAUACCCUCAACUCCACAAUCUGGCCAUGAAGUUGGAGAGGGUUUUUAGUAGAGGGGGCAUUGUAAUGAGACCCCAUCGUGCACAAUGCUGGCCUACAAAGCCAAAAACGGACCAGCUCCCUCUUACCUCAAAGCCUCCUCAUCACUCCUCGCAAUGCACCCCGCACCCUCCAAUCUACCAGCACUGCUCGACUGGUUCCACCAUCUCU